rnacentral:rRNA from 1 species
GUAGCAAUACUGAGGUGGCGACCGGCGCACGGGUGAGUAACGCGUAUGCAACCUGCCUGUAACAGGGGAAUAGCCUCUUGAAAGAGAGAUUAAUGCCGCAUAAUACAAUAUUCGGGCAUCCGGGUAUUUUUAAACAUUUAUGGGUUACAGAUGGGCAUGCGUUUCAUUAGGUAGUUGGUGAGGUAACGGCUCACCAAGCCGACGAUGAAUAGGGGUUCUGAGAGGAAGGUCCCCCACACUGGUACUGAGACACGGACCAGACUCCUACGGGAGGCAGCAGUGAGGAAUAUUGGUCAAUGGACGCAAGUCUGAACCAGCCAAGUCGCGUGAAGGAUGAAGGUAUUAUGUAUUGUAAACUUCUUUUGUCAGGGAAUAAUGGGUGUCACGUGUGACGCAGAGGAAUGUACCUGACGAAUAAGCAUCGGCUAACUCCGUGCCAGCAGCCGCGGUAAUACGGAGGAUGCGAGCGUUAUCCGGAUUUAUUGGGUUUAAAGG